rnacentral:rRNA from 1 species
UACGUAGGGUGCAAGCGUUGUCCGGAAUUAUUGGGCGUAAAGAGCUCGUAGGCGGUGUGUCGCGUCUGCUGUGAAAACUCAGGGCUCAACUCUGAGCUUGCAGUGGGUACGGGCACACUAGAGUGCUGUAGGGGAGACUGGAAUUCCUGGUGUAGCGGUGAAAUGCGCAGAUAUCAGGAGGAACACCGGUGGCGAAGGCGGGUCUCUGGGCAUUAACUGACGCUGAGGAGCGAAAGCAUGGGGAGCGAACAGG